rnacentral:tRNA from 1 species
CAGAAUUUAGUUUAUAUUAGAAUUUAGGCUUUGGGUGUUUAAGGAUUUUAUUCUGA